CCUACGGGUGGCAGCAGUCGGGAAUAUUGCGCAAUGGAGGAAACUCUGACGCAGUGACGCCGCGUAUAGGAAGAAGGUUUUCGGAUUGUAAACUAUUGUCGUUAGGGAAGAUAAAAGACUGUACCUAAGGAGGAAGCCCCGGCUAACUAUGUGCCAGCAGCCGCGGUAAUACGUAGGUGGCAAGCGUUGUCCGGAAUUACUGGGUGUAAAGGGAGCGCAGGCGGGAAGCCAAGUCAGCUGUGAAAACUACGGGCUUAACUUGUAGACUGCAGUUGAAACUGGUUUUCUUGAGUGAAGUAGAGGUUGGCGGAAUUCCGGGUGUAGCGGUGAAAUGCGUAGAUAUUCGGAAGAACACCGGUGGCGAAGGCGGCCAACUGGGCUUUAACUGACGCUGAGGCUCGAAAGUGUGGGGAGCAAACAGGAUUAGAUACCCCAGUAGUC
rnacentral:rRNA from 1 species